UACGUAGGGACCGAGCGUUGCCCGGAUUUAUUGGGCGUAAAGGGCGCGUAGGCGGCCACGCACGUCCGUUGUGAAAUCGCCCGGCUCAACUGGGCGGGGUCAGCGGAUACGGUGUGGCUCGAGCAAGCUAGGGGGCAAUGGAAUUCCCGGUGUAGUGGUGGAAUCGCGUAGAUAUCGGGGAGGAACACCAGUGGCGAAGGCGGUUGCCUGGAGCUUUGCUGACGCUGAGGCGCGAAAGCGUGGGGAGCGAUCCGG
rnacentral:rRNA from 1 species